AACGAACGCUGGCGGCAGGCCUAACACAUGCAAGUCGAGCGAGGACUUCGGUUCUAGCGGCGGACGGGUGAGUAACGCGUGGGAAUGUGCCCUUCUCUUCGGAAUAGCCCUGGGAAACUGGGAGUAAUACCGUAUACGCCCUAUUGGGGAAAGAUUUAUCGGAGAAGGAUCAGCCCGCGUUGGAUUAGGUAGUUGGUGGGGUAAUGGCCUACCAAGCCGACGAUCCAUAGCUGGUUUGAGAGGAUGAUCAGCCACACUGGGACUGAGACACGGCCCAGACUCCUACGGGAGGCAGCAGUGGGGAAUCUUAGACAAUGGGGGCAACCCUGAUCUAGCCAUGCCGCGUGAGUGAUGAAGGCCUUAGGGUUGUAAAGCUCUUUCAGCUGGGAAGAUAAUGACGGUACCAGCAGAAGAAGCCCCGGCUAACUCCGUG
rnacentral:rRNA from 1 species